UGCAGCUUGGUAUGUUUCUGUGGUUCCUCCUAUAAACUCAGUAAGGUCUCGGAACACCAGAAUGGAAAAUGUAUGAAGAAUGCCACUUGUAGUUAGCCUUGUACUCUGUAAGCACAAAUUCUCCUAAAGCCGAAUCCACGGUUUAAAAUCCUUUGCGGUCAUCAUCAUCAUCAUCAUGUACGCGUUACCCAACCAUGAUCAUGAUGUAAACAUUACCCAACUAAAUCCUUUGCAGUGUGACACAGUCCGUGGGACCCACACGUUCUAAUCUUACCUGUGAAAGAAAGAAAGGAAACUUGGCCUUAAAUGGUUUAACACAAGCUGUGCGACCCACACCACCCAUCUUCUACAUGGGCUGAUCACCUAUCCAACGAAUCAAAUGGCAAAUUGCCCUC